rnacentral:rRNA from 1 species
UUGACACUGAACAUUGAGCCUUGAUGUGUAGGAUAGGUGGGAGGCUUUGAAGCGUGGACGCCAGUCUGCGUGGAGCCGACCUUGAAAUACCACCCUUUAAUGUUUGAUGUUCUAACGUGGACCCGUAAUCCGGGUUGCGGACAGUGUCUGGUGGGUAGUUUGACUGGGGCGGUCUCCUCCUAAAGAGUAACGGAGGAGCACGAAGGUUGGCUAAUCCUGGUCGGACAUCAGGAGGUUAGUGCAAUGGCAUAAGCCAGCUUGACUGCGAGCGUGACGGCGCGAGCAGGUGCGAAAGCAGGUCAUAGUGAUCCGGUGGUUCUGAAUGGAAGGGCCAUCGCUCAACGGAUAAAAGGUACUCCGGGGAUAACAGGCUGAUACCGCCCAAGAGUUCAUAUCGACGGCGGUGUUUGGCACCUCGAUGUCGGCUCAUCACAUCCUGGGGCUGAAGUAGGUCCCAAGGGUAUGGCUGUUCGCCAUUUAAAGUGGUACGCGAGCUGGGUUUAGAACGUCGUGAGACAGUUCGGUCCCUAUCUGCCGUGGGCGCUGGAGAACUGAGGGGGGCUGCUCCUAGUACGAGAGGACCGGAGUGGACGCAUCACUGGUGUUCGGGUUGUCAUGCCAAUGGCACUGCCCGGUAGCUAAAUGCGGAAGAGAUAAGUGCUGAAAGCAUCUAAGCACGAAACUUGCCCCGAGAUGAGUUCUCCCUGAGACUUAGAGUCUCCUGAAGGAACGUUGAAGACGACGACGUUGAUAGGCCGGGUGUGUAAGCGCAGCGAUGCGUUGAGCUAACCGGUACUAAUGAACCGUGAGGCUUAACCUUACAACGCCGAAGCUGUU